AUUUGAUUACUAAACAAUCAAACUCAAUGAAGUUUUGUAGACAAGUUCUUAGAACUAAUACCUAUGUAUGUGGUUUUCCAUAUUUGCAUUUCUGUUAAAAUAUUCGGUUUCAAAGUUACGCGGUCU